AGCAGCCGCGGUAAUUCCAGCUCCAAUAGCGUAUAUUAAAGUUGUUGCAGUUAAAAAGCUCGUAGUUGAAUUUCGGGGUUAGUAGGUCGGUCAUGCCUCAGGUAUGCACUGGUCUCACUGAUUCCUCCUUCCUGAUGAGCCGUAAUGCCAUUAAUUUGGUGUUGCGGGGAAUCUGGACUGUUACUUUGAAAAAAUUAGAGUGUUUAAAGCAGGCUAACGCUUGAAUACAUUAGCAUGGAAUAAUGGAAUAGGACGUUCGAUCCUAUUUUGUUGGUUUCUAGGAUUGACGUAAUGAUUAAUAGGGAUAGUUGGGGGCAUUAGUAUUCAAUUGUCAGAGGUGAAAUUCUUGGAUUUAUUGAAGACUAACUACUGCGAAAGCAUUUGCCAAGGAUGUUUUCAUUAAUCAAGAACGAAAGUUAGGGGAUCGAAGACGAUCAGAUACCGUCGUAGUCUUAACCAUAAAC
rnacentral:sRNA from 1 species